GUCCCCGUAGUUUAAUGGAUAAAACGAGCCCCUCCUAAGGGCUAGAUCUUGGUUCGAUUCCAGGUGGGGAUACCA
rnacentral:tRNA from 12 species